CGGGGGCCUGCGCAGAGGCGACUGCGGAUUCCAUGGGCCUGCGGUCGAGGAGGCGUCUUUGCUGCGGGCCUCACCUGAGGAGAGCGUAGGCCCUUUUGUGAGCUCCGGGAUCACCGUGGACCGGGACCGGAUGUCACCUUCUGCCUGAACUAUCUCAAGUGCUUUAGAAGUUUCAGUACACACCUGAGAGCCAGACAACCUGGUGGGAUAGAGUCCUGAGGCUGCCCUGCCCACCUGAGGGACUCAGCAGAGUUCUGGAUGCAUCCACUGUGGCCUGGGUUCUCCUCCUCCUCACCAUCCUCACUGCACAGGGUCCUGGGCACAAUCACAACUGACUCAGCCUCCCUCAGUUUCCAGGGCUCCUGAACAGUCACCAUCUCCUGUACUGGAAGCAUCAGUGACAUUGGGGUUUACUCCCUUGCCAGUCUGUCUGCAGCUCUGCCAAAUUAUAUAUGAAUGCUCAGAUAAUCCUGCAUUUUCCAUAAUAUACUUGUCAAGACAAGCAGAUGCACUGAAGCCAACAGAAAAUCAUGAAGUUCCCAAGAAAUUUAGAAGAUAUGGAGAAUUCAAAUGAACAAAUUAAAAAGCCAGAGGGGACACAAAAUUUGGUGCAAUUAAUUAAAGAAUUACACAGAAGUGUCAGUGAGAUAGCUAAAGACAUAAAGGACAUCAAGAAGACUCUAGAAGAGCAAAAAGAAGAGUUUAAAAGAAUAAAUAAAAAGUUAGACAGUAUUACAGAAAAAAAAGAAACAGUUGAUCAAAUUAAAAAUAUAGUAGAGAUGCACAUUAGCAAAUUUGAAGAUGUAGAAGAAAGAAUAGGUGAACUAGAGGACAGCACAAUUGAAAGCAAACACACAAAAGACCAAAUGGUUAACAAAAUUGAAAGAUUUGAAGUAGAUCUCAGCAUUAUGAUGGACAACAUGAAGUGGACAAACAUAAGAAUCAUUGGUGUCCCCAAAGGUGAAGAGAAGAGUAAAGGGCUAGGAAGAGUGUUUCAAGACAUAGGGAAAAUUUCCCAACCUAGUU